rnacentral:misc_RNA from 1 species
CUCCUCUUUGAACUAGUGGCCCAUGCCUCCUCAAACCUUUCCUUACUCAAAAUAAGACUUAUAACAAAACCAACACAAUACCAAUCCUUUCCUCUUAAACACCAAACCCACUUCGCCCAAGCUUAUCUUCCUUCCAGGUCUCCCUUGCCUAAUGCUAUUGCAGGACACAUUACCAUGAAGAUCCACGCCUUUUUUUUCUAUUAUUUCACCUCCAUUAUUCUCAUUUUUAUCAUUUUCACAGAAUCUCAAUAUCUUAGCCAAAAUAUAACUAUUUCACAGUCUUAGAAAUCUGAGUCUUCUUAUCUCAUGGGCUUUUGCAAUUCACAUCUUCAACAUUGUGCCAUUUCAAGGCUUGCAACAAUGAUUUCACUGGAGUCUAUACCUGUCCUCAAAUGAUGGUUUUGCUCUAUCUUCGCAAUACCAGGGAACUAUUGCAGAAAUCCCAUUGUUGCCAUAGGAGCCUGAUUUGGUAUUCAUCCUUGUUAGAUAUUUAGUUUUUGCCUUUUUUUUUUGGUUUCUUAACUAAUUUAACAUUUAAAAUAACAAUUUCAGAUUUCUUAGUGUUAGGUGUUCUAAAAUCAAGCUGGUAAAAUGGAUUUUCUAAAAAGAUGUUUUGACCUAUUUUACUUUAUACUAGUUUUCCAUUUGGUAAUAUAGAAACACUUGCAUUGUGGUUUAUAUUUUGUAGGAUUAACAUUGUGUCUUGUGAACUAUUCAUUAUGUCCUGUUGAAUAAAGUGGUGUUGUAACUAAUGUGGAUUAACAUUGUGUCUUGUGAGCAAUUGAUCUUUUUUUAGUUCUUUAAUUAAAAAAA